rnacentral:lncRNA from 1 species
GAGGGUGAGGAUAAAAAUGAUGCUCAAGUUGAUAAUUGAAUUGAGUCUAAAGCUAAUGGUUUGGGUACUUGGUCAGGGGAUAGGAUUGUAUAUGAAGAUUUCACAAUAUAGAAGGCCAAAUGUAUAAUUAAGUUAUUUCUUAUGAUAUUUAUAAGUUUUUAUUUUAUAUCUAAUUUCAAUAUUAAAUAAAUUAGUUUAAUAUACUUG